UAACUUGUAUCUUUGCAUUAGACAAGGCAAGUCAGUGAAUGUAUAGCUGGAUGUCCGCCUGGCCACCAUCUAAAUAAGGCUUGCUGUGAAGAUGGAAGUACUUGUACUAAAAGCGAUAUUUGUGAAAAAUGUGUAGAUGGAACAUACUUGUUAGGUGAAGGAAUUGAGGCUUAUUGUAAUAGUUGUACUGUAUGUCAGCCAAAUGAAGUACAACUGCAGAACUGUACAGAGGAAACUAAUGCCAAAUGCGAGUGUAAGCCUGACUAUUACAGGAGCUCUUCACAGAUAUGUUUAAAAUGUCCUGAAUGCAUCAAAGCUGAUUGUCCGGCUGGCUGUAGUCCAAAAUCGCCACCACCGCAAGGCAUCCCUACUACAACAAUAGAACCCAAUGUUAGCACCAUCCGCCAUGAUCUACCUCAUCCAACUGACUUAACAACUCCAACAAAUGUGAGGGAAAUGACAUCAUCAACAAUGUCUUCUAUAAAAGCACUUGAUGGCGAGCCUGAGAUUGAGUCUUGGUGGAAACCAAAAGUUUAUAUUCCUCUUAUCGUACUUAGUCCAGUUUUUAUACUUGCUAUUGUUGGAUUUGCUACAAAAGUGUUAUGUUGUUGGACUGAGAAAUCCAAGACAUUUUGGACCAAUUACUGCCCUUGCUUUCUAAGAUGUGGUUGCUGCAAUCCUAAUGAUGACCGAUCAGCAAGCUCACCAUCAA